GAGGGGGAAGACGGGAGGAAAGAAGGGAGUGGUUCCAUCGCGCCUCCUCACUCCUCUCCUCCCGUCUUCUUCUCUC
ensembl:miRNA